GUUGGGUAUGGUAGUGCAUGCCUGUAAUCCCAGCUGCUCCGGAGGUUGAGGCAGGAUGAUGGCUUGUUCAAAGCCAGUCUCAGCAAAAAGUGAGGCCCUAAGUAACUCAGUGAGAUCCUGUCUCUA
rnacentral:sRNA from 1 species